UACGUAGGGUGCAAGCGUUAAUCGGAAUUACUGGGCGUAAAGCGUGCGCAGGCGGCUUUGCAAGACAGAUGUGAAAUCCCCGGGCUCAACCUGGGAACUGCAUUUGUGACUGCAUGGCUGGAGUGCGGCAGAGGGGGAUGGAAUUCCGCGUGUAGCAGUGAAAUGCGUAGAUAUGCGGAGGAAUACCGAUGGCGAAGGCAGCCCCCUGGGAUAACACUGACGCUCAUGCACGAAAGCGUGGGGAGCAAACAGG
rnacentral:rRNA from 1 species